UGAAGCUGGAAUCGCUAGUAAUCACAGGUCAGCAUACUGUGGUGAAUACGUUCCCGGGCCUUGUACACACCGCCCGUCACACCAUGAGAGUUGAGAAUACCCGAAGCCUAUGUCAAAGUGGUCGAAGGUAGGCUUGAUGAUUGGGGUGAAGUCGUAACAAGGUAAC
rnacentral:rRNA from 1 species